GAUCAGAAUGCCACGGUGAAUACGUUCCCGGGCCUUGUACACACCGCCCGUCACACCAUGGGAGUGGGUUGCAAAAGAAGUAGGUAGCUUAACCUUCGGGAGGGCGCUUACCACUUUGUGAUUCAUGACUGGGGUGAAGUCGUAACAAGGUAACCGUAGGGGAACCUGCGGUUGGAUCACCUCCUUACCUUAAAGAA
rnacentral:rRNA from 2 species